rnacentral:lncRNA from 1 species
UUUACAUGAAAAUUUUACAACCGUGAAGCCGGAAGAUGCAUAUGAAGACUUUAUUGUGAAACCUCCCGUGAGAAAGCUGGUCCACGACAAAGAGUUGGCAGCAGAAGAUGAGCAGGUGUUCCUAAUGAAGCAACAGUCACUCCUUGCCAAGCAACCAGCCACUCCCACGAGAGCUUCUGUGAAGGACCCUCUGGCUCUCCAAGGACCCAGGGUCGGGGAGGGCCAGCCAGUGUGCCUAGCUCCUCCCCAGGCACGUCAGUAAAAAAGCCGGACCCAAACAUCAAAAAUAAUGCAGCAAGUGAAGGGGUGUUGGCCAGCUUCUUCAACAGUCUGUUGAGUAAAAAGACAGGCUCUCCUGGAAGUCCUGGUGCUGGUGGGGUGCAGAGCACAGCCAAGAAGUCAGGACAAAAGACUGUGUUGUCAAAUGUUCAGGAAGAACUGGAUAGAAUGACUCGAAAGCCAGACUCUAUGGUAACAAACUCUUCAACAGAAAAUGAAGCCUGAACCUCCUUAAAAAGUGCAUAUGUCGAAUGACCAAAUAACUAUGUAUAUUGAUCUGCUAAGACCAGGAUUUUUCUGAUAUGGCACAUGCUAUCAGUUUUUUGGGGCAGGGGAGAUGAACUU